rnacentral:rRNA from 1 species
CGCGCAGGUGGUUUCUUAAGUCUGAUGUGAAAGCCCACGGCUCAACCGUGGAGGGUCAUUGGAAACUGGGAGACUUGAGUGCAGAAGAGGAAAGUGGAAUUCCAUGUGUAGCGGUGAAAUGCGUAGAGAUAUGGAGGAACACCAGUGGCGAAGGCGACUUUCUGGUCUGUAACUGACACUGAGGCGCGAAAGCGUGGGGAGCAAACA